rnacentral:rRNA from 1 species
GACGAACGCUGGCGGCGUGCUUAACACAUGCAAGUCGAGCGGUAAGGCCCUUCGGGGUACACGAGCGGCGAACGGGUGAGUAAUACUUAGGAAUCUACCCUGUAGUGGGGGACGAACCCGGGGAAACGUCGGGCUAAUACCGCAUACGCUCUACGGAGGAAAGCGGGGGACCGCAAGGCCUCGCGCUAUUGGAUGAGCCUAAGCCCGAUUAGCUAGUUGGUGGGGUAAUAGCCUACCAAGGCAAUGANCGGUAGCUGGUCUGAGAGGACGACCAGCCACACUGGGACUGAGACACGGCCCAGACUCCUACGGGAGGCAGCAGUGGGGAAUCUUGCGCAAUGGGCGAAAGCCUGACGCAGCGACGCCGCGUGAGGGAUGACGGCCUU